GUGUCAGCAGCCGCGGUAAUACAGAGGUGUCAAGCGUUGCUCGGUGUCACUGGGCUUAAAGGGCGCGUAGGCUGUGCAGUACGGCUCGGGUGAAAUCCCUCGGCCCAACCGAGGAACUGCCCGGGCGACGGCUGCGCUGGACUGCAUCAGGGGCGGAUGGAACUCCCGGUGGAGCGGUGAAAUGCGUAGAUAUCGGGAGGAACGCCGGUGGCGAAAGCGAUCCGCUGGGGUGCAAGUGACGCUGAGGCGCGAAAGCCAGGGGAGCAAACGGGAUUAGAAACCCUCGUAGUCC
rnacentral:rRNA from 1 species